UUCAUGUAUAAAGAAAAGCCUUUUAUUAGAA
rnacentral:tRNA from 1 species